rnacentral:tRNA from 1 species
GCCCGGCUAGCUCAGUCGGUAGAGCAUGAGACUCUUAAUCUCAGCGUCGUGGGUUCGACCCCACGUUGGGCG